rnacentral:rRNA from 1 species
AAUGGCCGCAGUAAUCUGACUGUGCAAAGGUAGCAUAAUAAUUAGUCUUUUAAUUGAAGGCUGGAAUGAAUGAUUGGAUGAGAAAUAAACUUUAUUUUUAUGAUUAAUUGUAAUUUAGUUUUUAGGUUAAAAGUCCUAAAUAAUUAAGUGGGACGAGAAGACCCUAUAGAGUUUAAAAUUGAGUUUAUAUGUAAAUGUUAAGAAUCUUUUUAUUUAUUAAUAUAAAUUAUUUUUUUGUUGGGGUGAUAUUAAAAUAUAAUUAACUUUUAAUUAAUUUUCCAUUAAUUUAUGUUUAAUUGAUCCGUUACAAAUUAACGAUUGAAAGAUUAAAUUACCUUAGGGAUAACAGCGUUAUUAAUUUUGAGAGUUCAAAUCGAUAAAUUAGUUUGCGACCUCGAUGUUGGAUUAAGAAAAAUUUUUGGGGUAGGUUUUAAAAAUAUUAGGUCUGUUCGACCUUUUAUAUCUUACG